GGGAGAGGCCGGGAGAGCGGGUCCUGUCCCGGGCUCCGGCGGCUGUAAACAGCCUGGCUCGGGCUGCCGGGCGCUGGAAAGUUCGCUGCACCCAGGCGGGACUACCCCUCCGUGAGAAGGGGAAAGCGGGGUGCAGAGCGGCCCGAGGAAGGGGAAGACAAUGGAAGGAAGCCUCGUCUAGACUUCGGCCCCAGCCCCCUCCCUCCUUCCAGCGUGUCCCAAAGCCCGGGCGCUCUCUGAGCCAGUUGGCCACCUUUGUUGCCAUCUCCUCUCCACCGACCGAGGAACGGGGACAGGGGUGAGUCCCUGCUGCCUCGGAAGAGUAUUUUAUUUACAAGAGCAAAUGGGUAGAAAGUGGGCUGCAAGUUCAGAAAUGGCGCUGUUCACAUUGUAAUGCCCAUUUUGCGCCACGCUUGUGCGAGGUUAGGCACACAAAAUGAGUCCCCAGCUGUUCAGACUGUUGGAGAAGACUCAAAGUCCUCCACCAGAUGCUGGCUCCAGACUGCACAGGACUGAAGUCAGCUUGGAUUCCUCAUGAGAAGGCUACCCUGGCAUUACCUUCUAAGCUUCACCUGCAAAAAGACAGGGCAAGAAGGCAGUUGACAGAAGAGUCCAGUCCAAACGGCAUGGAAAGAAACCUGGAAAGAGCAGUUUUCUGGUGGAAAGAAGACGCCUGGUUUGAUCCGCUGCACCCCUUGGCAGCUAUGAUUGUUAACUGUGCUGUGUCAACUUGACUUGAAUGAGAGCCACCGAGCAGGCUGGUAAAGCUCUGGGCAUGUCUGGAUAAUUGACAUGUAGCCCACAAACUGAGGAAGGAAGAUUUCAAGCCCAUCAGAAGCCUAUCAGUCUGGCCUACCUACCCCGAAUGUGAGUGGCACUGACCAAUGGGCUUGUAGCUUGAGCAGAAUAAAAAGAUAAAGAAGAAAAAAAUCUUCCCCUUUCUUUGGAGGAGGAGCUCCUUUGCCAUUGCCUUUGGACAUUUGUCUCCAGUUCCUUCAGGCUUCCAGCCUAGACUCUUCAGCCUUCGCAUGUAGACCCUUUGGCUUUCCCACGUGGACUUGCACCAGACUCUGCAGAGAGGUUCCGGCAUUCGACAUUCAACUAGAUCCUCCAGCUCUCCGGUCUGCAGAUGACCAUGUUGCAUUCUCCUACCCCUGAUUCCAUAGGCAGCCAGCGUAAGCCCACCUUGUAAAACGCAGAUAGAUAGAUAGAUAGAUAUAGAUAAAUAAUUUCUGCUGAAAUAGUGAACUCUAACUGAUACAUCUACCAGGACAUGUGUUUACACACACAGACACACCCAUUUGCAUGAACACAUACACACACACACGCUACUUUUUUACAUGUAUGACUUCAUGGGUGUACCUAUAUCCCUAGCAUAACAGCCAACCCAUAGAUAACCUUCAUGUCCUUGGCUCUUUCCCAGUGCAAGUCAAAUACUAGUGCCCUUCACUUAGGUCACUCCUUUCCUCCCUUCAUCAACUCUGGAUGCGGCUUUUCACAGGCCACCAAUCUGUAGUGGACAAUGGGCUACUCACUCCCUCUCAGGUGUUUAACACAUCAUGGAGAAGGAAUAAAUUUGACACCACCGUAAGAGCGCUCAUUUGGAAGGAGAAGCAAGGGAAGUGAGCAGUUGUCACUGUCAGCCCAUAAUCUGCCUUUGCUUUUCUGGAAGGUAAGGUGGGGAGAAGCUGCGCCAGCCUCCAGGGCUUCCCUCAGCUCUGUUCUUUGGGCAGCUCCGCCUUGUCUGUGGUCCUUCACAGCCACCUUGGAGAGAACCGCUGGGCAUGAAGGCCCUUCCUAGCCCUCCUCCUAGUGGUGGGAAUUCGGAGUCCUUGGGAUAAUUUUAAUACAGAGGUCCCCUUCAACACA